UACAGAGGGUGCAAGCGUUAAUCGGAAUUACUGGGCGUAAAGCGUGCGUAGACGGUUAUUUAAGUCGGGUGUGAAAGCCCCCGGCUCAACCGGGGAGGGUCGCGGGGACCGCACCGCUUGAGGGCGGUAGGGGCUGGUGGAAGUGCCUGGUGUAGUGGUGAAAUGCGUAGAGAUCAGGCGGAACACCCGUGGCGAAGGCGGCCAGCUGGGCCGU
rnacentral:rRNA from 1 species